rnacentral:rRNA from 1 species
GGAUUUUCCCUUCGGGGACUGCCGGUUCAGGUGCUGCAUGGCUGUCGUCAGCUCGUGCCGUGAGGUGUUGGGUUAAGUCCCGCAACGAGCGCAACCCUCGUCCUUAGUUGCCACCAUUCAGUUGGGCACUCUAAGGAGACUGCCGGCGUUAAGCCGGAGGAAGGUGGGGACGACGUCAAGUCAUCAUGGCCCUUAUGUCCAGGGCCACACACGUGCUACAAUGGGCGGUACAAAGGGUCGCGAACCCGCGAGGGGGAGCCAAUCCCAAAAAGCCGCUCUCAGUUCGGAUUGGAGUCUGCAACUCGACUCCAUGAAGUUGGAAUCGCUAGUAAUCGCGGAUCAGCACGCCGCGGUGAAUACGUUCCCGGGCCUUGUACACACCGCCCGUCACACCAUGGAAGCCAGCUGUACCGGAAGUCGGUGCGCCAACCCGCAAGGGAGGUAGCCGCCUAUGGUAUGACUGGUGACU